rnacentral:tRNA from 1 species
GGGAAUGUGGAUUAGUGGUAGAGUACUUGUCUAGAAGGCAUGAAGGCCUAGGUUCAAUUCCUCCAUUACCA